rnacentral:tRNA from 1 species
GGGAGAGUAACUCAAUGGUAGAGUGUUAGUCUGUCGCAUUAAAAAUUGUGGGUUCGAAUCCCACCUCUCUCG